rnacentral:rRNA from 1 species
AUUGAACGCUGGCGGCAGGCCUAACACAUGCAAGUCGAGCGGAGCGGCGGACGGGUGAGUAAUGUCUGGGAAUCUGCCUGGUAGUGGGGGAUAACGUCCGGAAACGGGCGCUAAUACCGCAUACUAUCAGAUGAGCCUAGGUCGGAUUAGCUAGUUGGUGGGGUAAAGGCCUACCAAGGCGACGAUCCGUAACUGGUCUGAGAGGAUGAUCAGUCACACUGGAACUGAGACACGGUCCAGACUCCUACGGGAGGCAGCAGUGGGGAAUAUUGGACAAUGGGCGAAAGCCUGAUCCAGCCAUGCCGCGUGUGUGAAGAAGGUCUUCGGAUUGUAAAGCACUUUAAGUUGGGAGGCGUUACCCGCAGAAGAAGCACCGGCUAACUCCGUGCCAGCAGCCGCGGUAAUUC